CCGGCGAUUUCCGAAUGGGGAAACCCAGUGUGUUUCGACACACUAUCAUUAACUGAAUCCAUAGGUUAAUGAGGCGAACCGGGGGAACUGAAACAUCUAAGUACCCCGAGGAAAAGAAAUCAACCGAGAUUCCCCCAGUAGCGGCGAGCGAACGGGGAGGAGCCCAGAGCCUGAAUCAGUGUGUGUGUUAGUGGAAGCGUCUGGAAAGGCGCGCGAUACAGGGUGACAGCCCCGUACACAAAAAUGCACAUACUGUGAGCUCGAUGAGUAGGGCGGGACACGUGGUAUCCUGUCUGAAUAUGGGGGGACCAUCCUCCAAGGCUAAAUACUCCUGACUGACCGAUAGUGAACCAGUACCGUGAGGGAAAGGCGAAAAGAACCCCGGCGAGGGGAGUGAAAAAGAACCUGAAACCGUGUACGUACAAGCAGUGGGAGCCUCUUUUAUGGGGUGACUGCGUACCUUUUGUAUAAUGGGUCAGCGACUUAUAUUCUGUAGCAAGGUUAACCGAAUAGGGGAGCCGAAGGGAAACCGAGUCUUAACUGGGCGUUAAGUUGCAGGGUAUAGACCCGAAACCCGGUGAUCUAGCCAUGGGCAGGUUGAAGGUUGGGUAACACUAACUGGAGGACCGAACCGACUAAUGUUGAAAAAUUAGCGGAUGACUUGUGGCUGGGGGUGAAAGGCCAAUCAAACCGGGAGAUAGCUGGUUCUCCCCGAAAGCUAUUUAGGUAGCGCCUCGUGAAUUCAUCUCCGGGGGUAGAGCACUGUUUCGGCAAGGGGGUCAUCCCGACUUACCAACCCGAUGCAAACUGCGAAUACCGGAGAAUGUUAUCACGGGAGACACACGGCGGGUGCUAACGUCCGUCGUGAAGAGGGAAACAACCCAGACCGCCAGCUAAGGUCCCAAAGUCAUGGUUAAGUGGGAAACGAUGUGGGAAGGCCCAGACAGCCAGGAUGUUGGCUUAGAAGCAGCCAUCAUUUAAAGAAAGCGUAAUAGCUCACUGGUCGAGUCGGCCUGCGCGGAAGAUGUAACGGGGCUAAACCAUGCACCGAAGCUGCGGCAGCGACGCUUAUGCGUUGUUGGGUAGGGGAGCGUUCUGUAAGCCUGUGAAGGUGUACUGUGAGGUAUGCUGGAGGUAUCAGAAGUGCGAAUGCUGACAUAAGUAACGAUAAAGCGGGUGAAAAGCCCGCUCGCCGGAAGACCAAGGGUUCCUGUCCAACGUUAAUCGGGGCAGGGUGAGUCGACCCCUAAGGCGAGGCCGAAAGGCGUAGUCGAUGGGAAACAGGUUAAUAUUCCUGUACUUGGUGUUACUGCGAAGGGGGGACGGAGAAGGCUAUGUUGGCCGGGCGACGGUUGUCCCGGUUUAAGCGUGUAGGCUGGUUUUCCAGGCAAAUCCGGAAAAUCAAGGCUGAGGCGUGAUGACGAGGCACUACGGUGCUGAAGCAACAAAUGCCCUGCUUCCAGGAAAAGCCUCUAAGCAUCAGGUAACAUCAAAUCGUACCCCAAACCGACACAGGUGGUCAGGUAGAGAAUACCAAGGCGCUUGAGAGAACUCGGGUGAAGGAACUAGGCAAAAUGGUGCCGUAACUUCGGGAGAAGGCACGCUGAUAUGUAGGUGAAGCGACUUGCUCGUGGAGCUGAAAUCAGUCGAAGAUACCAGCUGGCUGCAACUGUUUAUUAAAAACACAGCACUGUGCAAACACGAAAGUGGACGUAUACGGUGUGACGCCUGCC
rnacentral:rRNA from 1 species